UACGUAGGGGGCGAGCGUUGUCCGGAGUUACUGGGCGUAAAGAGCUCGUAGGCGGUGUGUCGCGUCGGCCGUGAAAACCUGCAGCUUAACUGUGGGCUUGCGGUCGAUACGGGCAUCACUGGAGUUCGGCAGGGGAGACUGGAAUUCCUGGUGUAGCGGUGAAAUGCGCAGAUAUCAGGAGGAACACCGGUGGCGAAGGCGGGUCUCUGGGCCGAUACUGACGCUGAGGAGCGAAAGCGUGGGGAGCGAACAGG
rnacentral:rRNA from 1 species